rnacentral:lncRNA from 1 species
CUUCUGCCUAGCCUAUGUGUAAAUCCAGUUAAAUUCACUGCCAUUGUAAAUUCACUGUUCAGUCUCUUAAGGGACGAAAUAGUUGCUCAGCUGUGCUCGUGAACUUCGUUUCCAUGACGACCAAGUCACUCAAACUCAGCUGCAUCUCAGCCAUCGGCAAAAACCUCUCAUUACAUUUUCAAAUUACAUCUUGCCUUCAUCAAACAGCUAUAAAAGGAGGCCUUGGUGCUUUUGUGCCUGGAGGUUUCUGUGAAGUUCGCAGCAUGUGAUGUUUCUGUUUGACCCUGACCUCUCAUUAUAUAAGGCUUUGCAUCUUUGAUAAGAGUCUGGUGAAAUGUUAUGGCGGAGAGGCUUCAAACACGUGGAGAGCACAGGUCAAAUGCAGAAAUGCUUCCUCUGAUCUCGAGAGCCUCAAUCCUCUCAGGGAUCCGUAAUCCAUGUCCUUAUAUGUCCCCAACCAUUUCUGAUUAGUUCUCAUCUGGGAAAUCACACAGUGGCCGGAUUCCACAUCCAGCAAUCAGGAUUAAUGCCAUGGAAUAUCAAAAUGGACUAUGAUACUUUUAACUGUGUGCUAUUUGUGGAGAUGAGCUCUUGUGACAGCUGACUGUAUAGCAUGACACGCAUCUGCUGUGAAGAAAGCAUUAAGACCAUUAAAACUGAUACAUUUUACAAGUUUUGAUGUUUUUUUGUCACCUAAUAAGAUCUACAGGUGAUUAUUUUAUUUAUAUAACAAUAAAAUACAUUAUUUCAAUGGCA